UCAGACGAUGCGUCAUGCAUAUCAAUAAGCGGAGGAAAAGAAACUAACAAGGAUUCCCCUAGUAACGGCGAGUGAAGCGGGAAGAGCUCAAAUUUGAAAUCUUAAAGGGUUUCCCUUUACGAAUUGUAGUUUAAAGAAGUGUUUUCUGUUGAGGUUUUGGUAAAAGUUCUUUGGAAUAGGACAUCAUAGAGGGUGAGAAUCCCGUAUUUGACCUUUACUUUCAACUUUGUGAUACACUUUCAAAGAGUCGGAUUGUUUGGGAAUGCAGUCCAAAAUGGGUGGUAAAUUUCAUCUAAAGCUAAAUAUAGGCGAGAGACCGAUAGCGAACAAGUACCGUGAGGGAAAGAUGAAAAGAACUUUGAAAAGAGAGUUAAACAGUACGUGAAAUUGUCAAAAGGGAAGCGUUUGACACCAGUGUUGUUUUUCUGAAAAUCAAUUAAAGAACUGUUUAUGCUAAGCUGUUUAGACUUUAUCAGCUAUCUGUUUAGUUUUGAGCUUUUCUUUAAUGCACUUUUCAGUUAACAAGUCAACAUCAAUUUCUUUUGCUGUAAAAAAGCUUGAGGAAGGUGGCUUGAGAUUCGUCUUAAGUGUUUAUAGCCUCUUGCCUAUGCAGUCGGAGAGAUUGAGGUCUGCAGCGUAGAUCCUUCGGGGCUAAAUGCAUUUGUGCUAAGUUAUAGCAUUUUCAUAGACAACUUGUUGACUAUGAUUUGUCUUGUAGCUUACUCGCUUAUGUUAUUUUACCUACGCUUAGGAUGUUGAAUCUGUGCGAGACUAC
rnacentral:rRNA from 1 species